GAGGAUGUAGCUCAGUCGGUUAGAGCACUAGAUUGUGGUUCUAGGGGUCGUGGGUUCGAGCCCCAUCUUCCUCCCCA
rnacentral:tRNA from 2 species